rnacentral:lncRNA from 1 species
UUCAAAUCAUAAGCCUUUAAAGUACAAAAUUAAGACACGUCUAAGGUUAAGCCUCUUUAUGAUGACUUCGGGUCGCCACAUCAUUGUGAUAUUUACAAGGAAAAUAUUGCAAACCAUAGUGAUAUUUCAAAAGAGAAAAGUAGAUACAAAGAAAGGGGAUAUAUUGCUUCAAUUCUUACAUUUUCAGCCCUGUCAACUCCUUUUUAAUCGUAUGCGUCUUGAUCACCUGUAGGACUGUAGGAGAAAAAAUGCAUAAUGUAUUAGCAAAAAUGAUGUUGCAAUUCACAAUAACAGUACCAUAAGUGUUGUCCCACUUCUCCACAGCGUCUUGGUGGCCUAGCACUGGGGAGAAUCUACCUCAUCUACUGAUUGGUUUCAUCCAUCUCUCUCUUCUUGACGCCCAUACUGUUGCUGAAACAUAUGUGACAUGCUUUUGCUGCUCCUCUGCAUGAACUCUCACUUGACAUUGACAACUCUUCUCUUCUGUAUUAGUAAUCUGCAAGAGCACAGAUAUUGGCACAUGUCACAUCAACAACUCUUAGUACUUUCUGAUUUACUUAUUUCUAUGUAAUAUUGACAUCCACUAAGAUAGACAGACCGACCCACACACAUGAUAGCUUCGACCUGUUGCUCUCACGCCCUGGAGCCCAAGUAUAUCACGUACCCUAGAAACAUAUCAGAUAUCAAAGAAACUUGCUGAUGAUUCACCAAGAAACAACUAAGGUGUUAUAGCUUACAACUUAGUGUAAACUACAGUUUGACAGUAACGGAUUAUACUAUAUGCUUAUGAACAACUAACUAACACUUGUAGGAAUAACUAUACAAGUUUAGUACCCCCACUAUGGAAAACUCACAAAACAAACAAAACAAUCUAAUAUAUUUGCAGAUCUAUCCGACCAUAUGGUCUCUGAUUUUGUUGCAUAUCCCAUAAUAAUUCUCUUAACAUAAGAGGUCAAUUCGACCGGGAUAAAAAAAUGAAUCUUUAAGCAAACAGGAAAACCAAAAGAAGGUAAAGAUACAUCCGGAUACCAAAUCACAGCCAUGGUACCGCCAGUGCAUAAGAAUCCUCACCUUGUCGUGGUCGUCCCAGGUCAAAGACCGUCCCUCCAACUCGGACUAGGAUGGCCUCGACACGGAGAUCCACGCCGUGGCUCGGCUAUGUGGCCGGCGCGAACUGAUAACAGGGAGGCCUUUUGCAUCUCCCGGCCGGCGGCCGGAACCGGCUGCUCAGCGCGCCAGAUGUGCUCACUGCUGCUGACCUUAUCCGGCCGGAACGGAUAACCGUGGCGAGGAGUGGAGGAGACGGGCGACAUCACGGUGGAGGGAAUGGGAGGCGACGGUGAGCGUGGAGGGGAGGCGGCGGUGACAAGCCACGGUGGGGACAUGGUGGCAGCAACGCGCUGUGGCGGAGAGAGAUGGCGACGGCGACCCAUGCCGGGAGAGUAAGGUCAUGUACAACGCAAAUAAUGCCGAUAAUCGAAGAAGACAACCUAUCCAAAUCAGACGUUGUUGGGGUAAGAUGAGCUCUGAAAUUCUGAUAUUCGAUGGCAUGUGGCGCAAGGUCAACGAUGCAUUCGCAGCUACCGGACAAUAUAGCCAGGACUUAGUUUCCAAAUCUCUAAAGAUGUAUAGGUUAGAACAGAAUCAACCAUUCAAAUUUCUCAACAUGUGGAUGUUCAUACCGAACUAUCCCCAGUGAAAUGCGAUGUACUGUCAGGUCAAAAAGCCAUGAUUUAGAUAAUAAAUUGCUGUUCUCAUUCCAAGUUGUACUCCCCAAAUUUCCUUUUAGGACUAUGUAAAUUGAAGAUCAGUCAGUUCGGAACAUGCCAAACUGUAGAUCACCGCAUAUUAUUGUCCUACUAUAUGAUAAUCAUACAAGUAUUGUUCCAUCGAUUCAGGAAGAACAUGGCGCACACAGAUCACCAUAUAGUUUCAUGUGUGCAUCUCAAUAGCAGUUAAAUCCAUUCACCAGGGAUUGUACAACAAGCAGUAGGGAAUUACCUCGACGCCGUACUUGAUUGAGAUGCCAGGUAAACUUGUUCUUCCUGUACGCCUCGCGUUCGUGCGCCGCUGCCUCCUCCCUGCCUCCUCCCACCUUCCCGUUUGCCAGACUCGCCACGAG